UGNUCUGUCACUGACGCUGAGGCUCGAAAGCGUGGGUAGCGAACAGGAUUAGAUACCCUGGUAGUNCACGCCGUAAACGAUGAGUGCUAGGUGUUAGGCCCUUUCCGGGGCUUAGUGCCGGAGCUAACGCAAUAAGCACUCCGCCUGGGGAGUACGACCGCAAGGUUGAAACUCAAAGGAAUUGACGGGGGCCCGCACAAGCGGUGGAGCAUGUGGUUUAAUUCGAAGCAACGCGAAGAACCUUACCAGGUCUUGACAUCCCGAUGCUAUUCUUAGAGAUAGGAAGUUACUUCGGUACAUCGGAGACAGGUGGUGCAUGGUUGUCGUCAGCUCGUGUCGUGAGAUGUUGGGUUAAGUCCCGCAACGAGCGCAACCCUUAUUGUUAGUUGCCAUCAUUAAGUUGGGCACUCUAGCGAGACUGCCGGUAAUAAACCGGAGGAAGGUGGGGAUGACGUCAAAUCAUCAUGCCCCUUAUGACCUGGGCUACACACGUGCUACAAUGGUCGGUACAACGAGUUGCGAGCCGGUGACGGCAAGCUAAUCUCUGAAAGCCGAUCUCAGUUCGGAUUGGAGGCUGCAACUCGCCUCCAUG
rnacentral:rRNA from 1 species